UCCAGAUCCAAACCAUAACACUGUUGCUUAGGAUUGCCAUCUUUGUGUAGAUAUAACAGAAUAUGAAAAUACAUUCCAAUUGUUGGAUCCAGGACUAGGAUAAGACCAAGGUAUCUUAUCUUUAUGCCAGCAAUAGGCAUUUUGGAAAAAGUAUGAAAUUUGGUAAAUAAUAAUCUUGUCUUCUAGUCUUCAGUUUCUCUCGACUACUUGAACAGCCUGGGAAAGCUAAUUCAUCUCUACUGGAUUUGGCUUCCUAGUCACCAAUCAGAUAAAGAAAUGAGAUGUAUUAUGUCUAGCAUACAGCAUAUGCACAUGAAGUUGUCCUACAUUCUGAAUCAUUUUGUUUCCCCACCUAUGAUAUGAGAAGUUUAGUCUAGAGCAUAACAGUUCUCCAGCUUUCUAAAUGCAGUAGAAUCCUUUGAACAACAACAACAAAUUUUACAUGGAACUCCAGUAAAUUAAACAGAUCAUACUUUUGUGAAAGAAAGGUGGCACAGCCUACUGAAAACCAACUUGAUUCAUGCACAAUGGUAUAAUGGAAGCCAUCGAUCUGUUCUACUCACAAAUUUGAACUUCGUUCUUCAGAAUGGAUGCCCAAACCGAAUAAGCCUCAUUUGUACUUUUUUUCGGUCACUUUGAAACUGCUACUGCUAGGAGUUUGAGAGUUUCCCAAGAAUCCUUGAAGUUCUCAACCCACCAGCAUCCACCAUGGGACAGAUGCUUUAUACAAGUUACUUCACCCAGUUUUCCCAAGGAAAGAUGAAGCAGGUUUGAAAACAGUUUUGGCACAGAGUUCAGAGGUUCCCUGACCUCGAAGUGAUGGUAAGCUAGCAUUCACAGGCUGCUGGGACUACAACGUGAACAUAUAUUUUUCCGGGCCACCAUGUAGCUCUCUCUACCAUCCGAAGAAGACCCUCCUGUCUGAAGUAUCUAACAAUUAACAGCCUAGUUACACACGUGUGAAGAUUUUUUAAAUUCAGAGGAUCACCUACUAAGGUAAAUAAGAAGCCAUCAGAAUUCUUCAGGGAAUUACUGGAACCGUAUCUGUCAUCUGUCACACCAGGCUAUGACAACCCUGCAUUCAGAAAAUGUUGCUGCUUUAAAUUUCUCUCGGUGGAAAUGUGGAAUGCUGCACAAAGAACUGAAUUCUAAGCACAGGGCUUCAUUACCUUUGUUUGGUUGCCUGACUUCAAGGUGCCUCAGCCUGCUGGACCACAUUCCUAAAUCAUUCUAGAUGCUUGGAGUGCUAUUUAGAUGAGUGGCUCUGAUAUUUUUAUCUUAUUUUACUUUUCACUACAAAGGUAAUGCAUGCUGAUUGCUAAAACUCUCAACAGUUAGGACACAUAUAAGGAAAGAGUGAAAAAUCUUCAACCCCUCUUUGCUAAUUACUAGCCACGCUGUUAACACUGCAGCAAUCUGUGGUGUCAAUAUUGUCAGUAUCACUAUCGUUAUC